rnacentral:lncRNA from 1 species
UUUAUUCCAGAAAGAAAGUAUGCUUUUGGUAGGGCCUCAACAAAUUGUACUUCCGAGUGCUCCAUUUUGAUAGGUUAUAAUUGGGUAAUGACCAAAGAAUUGUAUAAUGUGAUCUCAAAGGGCUAAUGGUAUUGUGGAUCAUAUAAAGAGAAUUAUAAUCAGUACGUGAUGGAAGAUGCUCCAUGGAAAUAAUUCUCCCCCCAAUCCAGGGAACUAUUUUUAAAAUCCAAUCACCACUUUUCAAUUCAACUGGUACUCUCGAAAGUUCUGCUCCCUUGGGUCCAGAAAC